rnacentral:rRNA from 1 species
AUGGAAGCUCUAGCUUGCCGAGAGGGUAUAGCACUAGCUGAAGACCUAACACUGAGAAAUGUUGUUUUAGUUGCGGAUAGUCAAGAGGUGAUCAAAGACAUAGAACAAGAAGCAGCUGGUCCAUAUGGUGCAAUCAUCAAAGAAUUCAUAGAUCGGAAGAAUAUGCUUGACAAAUGUAUUUUAGUUCAUGAGCAUAGAAAUUUCAAUUUUGAGGCUCAUUGCCUCGCAAAACAUGCUGCUACUCUAGGUAUUGGAAGACAUACUUGGUUGGGUCAACCUUUUGAUCCCAACAAAAUACCUGUAAACCUUGUUAUUGAGUAA